GGAUUGUGGCUCAGUGGUAGAGUGCUCACCUAGCAUGUGCAAGGCUCUGAGUUCAAUCCUUAGCACCA
rnacentral:tRNA from 1 species